GAUGAACGCUAGCGAUAGGCUUAACACAUGCAAGUCGAGGGGCAGCAUGGUCUUAGCUUGCUAAGACUGAUGGCGACCGGCGCACGGGUGCGUAACGCGUAUGCAACUUGCCUCACAGAGGGGGAUAACCCGUCGAAAGACGGACUAAUACCGCGUACACUUGGGAUAGGGCAUCCUGACCCAAGGAAAUGAAAUUCGCUGUGAGAUAGGCAUGCGUCCCAUUGGCUCGUUGGUGAGGUAACGGCUCACCAAGGCGACGAAGGGUAGGGGAACUGAGAGGUUGAACCCCCACACUGGUACUGAGACACGGACCAGACUCCUACGGGAGGCAGCAGUGAGGAAUAUUGGUCAAUGGGCGAGAGCCUGAACCAGCCAAGUCGCGUGAAGGAUGACUGUCUUAUGGAUUGUAAACUUCUUUUAUACGGGAAUAACAAGAGUCACGUGUGGCUCCCUGCAUGUACCGUAUGAAUAAGCAUCGGCUAACUCCGUG
rnacentral:rRNA from 1 species